rnacentral:rRNA from 1 species
GAUGAACGCUAGCGGCAGGCCUAAUACAUGCAAGUCGGACGGGAUUCAGGAGCUUGCUUCUGAUGAGAGUGGCGCACGGGUGCGUAACACGUAUGUAACCUACCUUUAUCAGGGGGAUAGCCUCUCGAAAGAGAGAUUAAGCCCGCAUAAAAUCACAGCACAGCAUUGUGUAAUGAUCAAAUAUUUAUAGGAUAAAGAUGGGCAUGCGGAACAUUAGCUAGAUGGCGGGGUAACGGCCCACCAUGGCGACGAUGUUUAGGGGAUCUGAGAGGAUGGCCCCCCACACUGGUACUGAGACACGGACCAGACUCCUACGGGAGGCAGCAGUAAGGAAUAUUGGUCAAUGGGCGGAAGCCUGAACCAGCCAUGCCGCGUGCAGGAAGACGGCCCUACGGGUUGUAAACUGCUUUUAUACGGGAAUAAACCCAGAUACGUGUAUCUGGCUGAAUGUACUGUAAGAAUAAGGAUCGGCUAACUUCGUG